UGGGUGGACCUGUACAUCAGCUCC
rnacentral:siRNA from 1 species